GGGGUGAUAGCUCAGUUGGGAGAGCGCACGACUGAAGUGUCAACUCAGUCACCACCUGGUAAUCGUGAGGUCGCUGGUUCGAUCCCGGCUCGCCCCA
rfam:Aspergillus nomius NRRL 13137 contig00435, whole genome shotgun sequence.